UUCAAAUGAGGUGUCCAAAGCUUUGCCUGUGGUAAACUGUGGCAUUUACACUGUGUUUCAUGUGGUCCAACAUAUAACUUAGACUUUACAGUCAUUUUAGGAGUGUUCUUUUAGCCAAAUCUUUACUAUUGUUACCUUACAUUCCAGCUGCCUCUGUGCUAUAGGUAUCCCUGUGGUAUUUAUUUGAUAAUAACUAGCUUACUUGGCUACCUGGAGGAAUUAGUGUUUGUUAUGUUCAGGUUAGCGUCAUGGUAUUCUGGCUUCAUGUUUUUGAAUUGGAUCCUUUACCUGUUUCAGCAAAUUUAAAAUGUGUUAAUGUCUGGAGAACCUGUUUGAAGUCAGGCACAGGGAACAUCUGCUCGAUCCUGGACAGGAAGUCUGACAGGAGUGCAAGAAGGGCAGAGUCAAACGUGUGGUCAAACACCUCCUGUGAACAUGGACAGGGGCUGAGUCAGGAAUACAGAGACUGAGCCUAUUGUAGUAAAAGGAUUAACAGACUUCUGGUGAGAGUGGCAACAGACACGGAUACAUGAACAAGACAGGACAACUGAAAAAAGCUGGCUUCCAUUUUGGACUAAGGACUUAAUUUUCACUGUGAUUUGUGGAUUUAUGAACAUGGACCUGAUUAUCUAUUAUUCUUUCUUGUUUUUCUUUAUGAAAAUAUUAAGCUGCUAGCAAAUCCUCACUGAAUCCUUUUAUUCUUAUCAAUUUUUU